CACUGAUACCGAGAAACUUAGCAUGGCCCCUGCAAAAGGAUGACAUACAAACUCAUGAAACGUUCCAUAUUUUU
rnacentral:snRNA from 1 species